GACGAACGCUGGCGGCGUGCUUAACACAUGCAAGUCGAACGAAGAGUGAUGGAAGCUUGCUUCUAUCAAUCUUAGUGGCGAACGGGUGAGUAACGCGUAAUCAACCUGCCCUUCAGAGGGGGACAACAGUUGGAAACGACUGCUAAUACCGCAUACGAUCUAACCUCGGCAUCGAGGAUAGAUGAAAGGUGGCCUCUACAUGUAAGCUAUCACUGAAGGAGGGGAUUGCGUCUGAUUAGCUAGUUGGAGGGGUAACGGCCCACCAAGGCGAUGAUCAGUAGCCGGUCUGAGAGGAUGAACGGCCACAUUGGGACUGAGACACGGCCCAGACUCCUACGGGAGGCAGCAGUGGGGAAUCUUCCGCAAUGGACGAAAGUCUGACGGAGCAACGCCGCGUGAGUGAUGACGGCCUUCGGGUUGUAAAGCUCUGUUAAUCGGGACGAAAGGCCUUCUUGCGAAUAGUGAGAAGGAUUGACGGUACCGGAAUAGAAAGCCACGGCUAACUACGUG
rnacentral:rRNA from 1 species